rnacentral:rRNA from 1 species
GCUGAAGUGACAAAUGCCCUGCUUCCAGGAAAAGCCUCUAAGCAUCAGGUAACAUCAAAUCGUACCCCAAACCGACACAGGUGGUCAGGUAGAGAAUACCAAGGCGCUUGAGAGAACUCGGGUGAAGGAACUAGGCAAAAUGGUGCCGUAACUUCGGGAGAAGGCACGCUGACAUGUAGGUGAAGCCCCUGCGGGUGGAGCUGAAGUCAGUCGAAGAUACCAGCUGGCUGCAACUGUUUAUUAAAAACACAGCACUGUGCAAACACGAAAGUGGACGUAUACGGUGUGACGCCUGCCCGGUGCCGGAAGGUUAAUUGAUGGGGUUAUCGCAAGAGAAGCUCCUGAUCGAAGCCCCGGUAAACGGCGGCCGUAACUAUAACGGUCCUAAGGUAGCGAAAUUCCUUGUCGGGUAAGUUCCGACCUGCACGAAUGGCGUAAUGAUGGCCAGGCUGUCUCCACCCGAGACUCAGUGAAAUUGAACUCGCUGUGAAGAUGCAGUGUACCCGCGGCAAGACGGAAAGACCCCGUGAACCUUUACUACAGCUUGACACUGAACAUUGAGCCUUGAUGUGUAGGAUAGGUGGGAGGCUUUGAAGCGUGGACGCCAGUCUGCGUGGAGCCGACCUUGAAAUACCACCCUUUAAUGUUUGAUGUUCUAACCUGGCGCCGUGAUCCGGCGUGGGGACAGUGUCUGGUGGGUAGUUUGACUGGGGCGGUCUCCUCCCAAAGUGUAACGGAGGAGCACGAAGGUCAGCUAAUCCUGGUCGGACAUCAGGAGGUUAGUGCAAUGGCAUAAGCUGGCUUGACUGCGAGAGUGACGGCUCGAGCAGGUGCGAAAGCAGGUCAUAGUGAUCCGGUGGUUCUGUAUGGAAGGGCCAUCGCUCAACGGAUAAAAGGUACUCCGGGGAUAACAGGCUGAUACCGCCCAAGAGUUCAUAUCGACGGCGGUGUUUGGCACCUCGAUGUCGGCUCAUCACAUCCUGGGGCUGAAGUAGGUCCCAAGGGUAUGGCUGUUCGCCAUUUAAAGUGGUACGCGAGCUGGGUUUAGAACGUCGUGAGACAGUUCGGUCCCUAUCUGCCGUGGGCGCUGGAGAAUUGAGGGGGGCUGCUCCCAGUACGAGAGGACCGGAGUGGACGCAUCACUGGUGUUCGGGUUGUCAUGCCAAUGGCACUGCCCGGUAGCUAAAUGCGGAAGAGAUAAGUGCUGAAAGCAUCUAAGCACGAAACUUGCCCCGAGAUGAGUUCUCCCUGAGACUGUAAGUCUCCUGAAGGAACGUUGAAGACGACGACGUUGAUAGGCCGGGUGUGUAAGCGCAGCGAUGCGUUGAGCUAACCGGUACUAAUGAACCGUGAGGCUUAACCUU